rnacentral:sRNA from 1 species
GAUGCCAGGGUCAAAAGGUCUAAAUCCACAUGAGCUUGCUCAUAAGUGGAUGAAAGACCUUGGAACCCGCCCCGAUAUGAGCAUAAAAGUGGGAUGAUAAUCCCACUAUAUGCGAAUAUUGGAAAGGAUUGUUGGAGUGCGAAGCACGGAACAAUCCGCAGGCAUC